GGGUGGUAUGGAGACGGAUGAUCAGCUGUGGCGCCCCUAAUGGGAGCAGCCGAAAGAAGAAGAAGAAGAAGAAGAUUAUUACUAUUAUUGUGUAGUACUGAUUAUAAGAUUGUGUAGUUUUGAUGAUGAGGGUGUGUAGUACUGAUUAUAAGAUUGUGUAGUGUUGACGAUGAGGGUGUGUAGUACUGAUUAUAAGAUUGUGUAGUUUUGAUGAUGAGGGUGUGUAGUACUGAUUAUAAGAUUGUGUAGUGUUGACGAUGAGGGUGUGUAGUACUGAUUAUAAGAUUGUGUAGUUUUGAUGAUGAGGUUGUGUAGUGUUGAAGAUGAGGUUGUGUAGUACUGAUUAUAAGAUUGUGUAGUGUUGACGAUGAGGGUGUGUAGUAUUGAUUAUAAGAUUGUGUAGUGUUGAUGAUGAGGGUGUGUAGUACUGAUUAUAAGAUUGUGUAGUUUUGAUGAUGAGGUUGUGUAGUGUUGAGGAUGAGGGUGUGUAGUACUGAUUAUAAGAUUGUGUAGUGUUGACGAUGAGGGUGUGUAGUAUUGAUUAUAAGAUUGUGUAGUGUUGAUGAUGAGGUUGUGUAGUACCGAUGAUAAGGUUGUGUAGUAGUGUUGUGAUUGUGUAGUUCUGAUGCGGAAGCUGUUGUGGUAGUGAUGAGUGAAUUUGAGUUUUACCACUAGAUGGCCCACAAUCAGCAGGGGGUUGUUUUCCCUCAGUCAGAUUUACAGCUGUUUUCAUCAUCAUUCUGUACUGGGUUACAAACUUAUGUGGGGA